CCUACGGGUGGCAGCAGUGAGGAAUAUUGGUCAAUGGACGAGAGUCUGAACCAGCCAAGUAGCGUGAAGGAUGACUGCCCUAUGGGUUGUAAACUUCUUUUAUAUGGGAAUAAAAUGUUCCACGUGUGGGAUUUUGUAUGUACCAUAUGAAUAAGGAUCGGCUAACUCCGUGCCAGCAGCCGCGGUAAUACGGAGGAUCCGAGCGUUAUCCGGAUUUAUUGGGUUUAAAGGGAGCGUAGGUGGAUUGUUAAGUCAGUUGUGAAAGUUUGCGGCUCAACCGUAAAAUUGCAGUUGAAACUGGCAGUCUUGAGUACAGUAGAGGUGGGCGGAAUUCGUGGUGUAGCGGUGAAAUGCUUAGAUAUCACGAAGAACUCCGAUUGCGAAGGCAGUUCACUGGACUGCAACUGACACUGAGGCUCGAAAGUGUGGGUAUCAAACAGGAUUAGAUACCCUUGUCGUC
rnacentral:rRNA from 1 species